rnacentral:rRNA from 1 species
GACGUAGGGUGCAAGCGUUGUCCGGAUUUAUUGGGCGUAAAGAGCUCGUAGGCGGCUUGUUGCGUCGACCGUGAAAACCUACCGCUUAACGGUGGGCUUGCGGUCGAUACGGGCAGGCUAGAGUUCGGUAGGGGAGACUGGAAUUCCUGGUGUAGCGGUGAAAUGCGCAGAUAUCAGGAGGAACACCAAUUGCGAAGGCAGCUCGCUGGGACGUUACUGACGCUGAGACGCGAAACGUGGGGAGCAAACAGG